rnacentral:rRNA from 1 species
CUGUGGAUAGUGGCGAACGGGUGAGUAACACGUGAGCAACCUGCCCCUGACUCUGGGAUAAGCGCUGGAAACGGCGUCUAAUACUGGAUAUGAGCUGCGAUCGCAUGGUCAGCAGUUGGAAAGAUUUUUCGGUCUGGGAUGGGCUCACGGCCUAUCAGCUUGUUGGUGAGGUAAUGGCUCACCAAGGCGUCGACGGGUAGCCGGCCUGAGAGGGUGACCGGCCACACUGGGACUGAGACACGGCCCAGACUCCUACGGGAGGCAGCAGUGGGGAAUAUUGCACAAUGGGCGAAAGCCUGAUGCAGCAACGCCGCGUGAGGGAUGACGGCCUUCGGGUUGUAAACCUCUUUUAGCAGGGAAGAAGCGAAAGUGACGGUACCUGCAGAAAAAGCGCCGGCUAACUACGUGCCAGCAGCCGCGGUAAUACGUAGGGCGCAAGCGUUAUCCGGAAUUAUUGGGCGUAAAGAGCUCGUAGGCGGUUUGUCGCGUCUGCUGUGAAAUCCCGAGGCUCAACCUCGGGUCUGCAGUGGGUACGGGCAGACUAGAGUGCGGUAGGGGAGAUUGGAAUUCCUGGUGUAGCGGUGGAAUGCGCAGAUAUCAGGAGGAACACCGAUGGCGAAGGCAGAUCUCUGGGCCGUUACUGACGCUGAGGAGCGAAAGGGUGGGGAGCAAACAGGCUUAGAUACCCUGGUAGUCCACCCCGUAAACGUUGGGAACUAGUUGUGGGGUCCAUUCCACGGAUUCCGUGACGCAGCUAACGCAUUAAGUUCCCCGCCUGGGGAGUACUGCCGCAAGGCUAAAACUCAAAGGAAUUGACGGGGACCCGCACAGCGCGGAGCAUGCGAUUAUU